GCAGAAACAGGAAACACCAGUACUGCUAUGGUAUGUUGCAGUGGCAAAGCUCCUGCCAAGGAUCACUGAAUGGUAAAAAGCGGCAGAAAGGUGGAGUCACAUUACAGGAUCAAGGCUCAGCUUUGCCACCUCCUGACUUUGAAAUUUGGGGUCUGUUGCAUCAUGUCUGCGAGUGUUGUCUGCAAAAGAAAAGUUCUAGGACUGGAUUGCCCAGAUUUUAAGGAAACUUAGACGCAUGAAAACCCAGCAACAAAAGCAAGAAACAAAAGAGCUGUCAUGAAGAAUCACAUGGACCCCUGAAGUCAUGCUUUCAUAACCGAAUAAAUAACUCCUCGAG